GGGCAUUUGUGCUAGUAUAUAUAUAGAAAGAGAGAAAGUAGCACUAUUCUGAUCCCAUGAUCAGAAUAGUUAUUCCGAUCACGGUCGGUCCUAUAGGCGGCGAUGCGGUUGUUCCCGAACUCAUAGCGAGUGAAAAAAAACACCCUCUCCCCCCGCACGAUGCGCCUCCCCCCACCUCGAACAGCCGCCACGGCCAGCCCCACCUCCAGCCACCGGAUGCCGCCGCCGCGGCCGAGCCCUCAACCGCCGGAUGCCGCCGCCGCAGCCGAUCCCGCCGCCGCCACUACAGCCUCGGCCACCAACCGCCGCCUCCACUGCGUCUCCGACUACCAACUGACGGAUCCCGUUGACGCCACUGCGAUCCCGGCCACCAACUGCUGGAUCCCGCCGCCCGGGUCACCCCACCGGCCCCUCCGCCCUAUGAUCUGCUGCCGGUACCGCCGCCCUGCAUGUGGAUGCGCGCCAUCAUCCCCAAUGCGCUGUCGCCGACAACGGCAGCACCCCAUCGGUGUGGGCCCGGCGCACUUCCUACCGGCCUUCGUCCUCCCCUUCUACUAGCCCCGGCCAUGGCCCCUCCACAACUACUGAGCGCCGGCCUCCGCCAUCUCCCUCCAUCUUCCUCUGCUCGCGAUGGACUGCAUGGCACAAACCGUGAGUUCGCCAUAUUCCUGCACAAAAUUUUGCAGUUUAAGAAAAAUGAAGAUGGUAGUUCGAGAAGACUAUUUUUAGCUGUUUUCUGGCGCCACCACCUACAGCCGGCACCGCAGCGGCCAGGCCGUUCAACUUCGCCUCCUCGGGGCGUUCACCUCUGCCCGUGUGAGCGCGCGUCGCACCUGUGCGCUCCGCUUGGAGGCACCAUGCGUCUGGCCACCCAGCACAUCUACGCUCCAAGCUCCAACCUUUCUGUUGCUCCCUGCAAUUGUAUAGUAUCCAGAUCAAAUCGUUGAUUCCUAUUCUCUAAGUGAUUUUGAUGUCUGAAGUUCAACUGUAUAUGCAGGCGCAAAAAAACUGUUGUUUUUGGUACAUUAGUUUCAGUUUCACAGGUCGGUUUCCUUCCCAGUUUAUAUCCGAAAAUGCAUCAAUGAGGAUCGACGGUAGUCCGGGAUCUGCGACGACGAGGGAUGCUAUUUUUGGUUUGCUUUUGUGAAUCGGACAUGAAGUGUGGUGGACGGACGACUAGAGGUAUUGCUGCCAUUGUUAGUAGCCAAGUGAAAAUACUACUAGGAUCAUCCAUGAUACAGUAUGAGCUUUUGUGGUUGAUCAGUACAUGGCAAUUGAUCCUCCAUGUGUGUACGAUUGCAUCCAUAUUUGUUGUUCUCUGAAUAAGAAGCUCUGCGCUAUUCUUUUGUAACUGCAUCCACCAGAGAUAGAUAGAUGAAACCAUUGAUAGAAUCAAGUUCAGUUCAGUAGAAGCUCUCUGUGCGCUCGCUCCAAGCUGCAGGACACUGCUCAAAUGCACUGGUGUCUGAUGGUUGUUCAUCAUCCAGCCAGCCAUCCAUCAGUUCUGCUUUUCUACCAUUGUGGUCGCCCAAUAUUCGUCAAGCUGCAGGGCCGCAUCUGGCUCUCUUCAAUUAUCGGUCAUCAACGGCGAAACAAACAGUUGCCAAAAAAGAACGGCGAAACAAACAAAAAGGGCCAUGUGAUAGGGAUUUUUCUAUGGUUGUGAUAAUGCACUUCUAUUCGUUGUCACCACAAAUCCUCACAGCUAUUGCUCUCGCUGCUGGCGCGUCCUGUGGCUGGCACUCCUGGUGUGCGUACCGUUCGUGCCACCGACGCCCUAUUGCCAGUGUUGUUGGCUUGUGCCCGGGUCGGUUCCAGCCAUUUUUGCCUUUGCCGUCCACAUGCACUUUUGGAUCCUUCAGAUUUGUGAUGUGCUAAUGACUACUACUCCCUCUGUUCCUAAAUACUUGUCUUUCUAGGCAUUUCAACAAGUGACUACAUACAGAGCAAAAUGAGUGAAUCUACGCUCUAAAAUAUGUCUACAUACAUCCGUAUGUAGAAGUUAUUUGAAAUGUCUAGAAAGACAAAUAUUUAGGAACGGAGGGAGUACAUGUUUGUUCAGAUGCUCCUAUGAGGAUACAAAGAUGUGUAUGUGUGUAUUUCUCCACACAAUAAAAAGUUUGUACAUAGUAAUUUUUCAUUUAAAAAUGUGUGGCUGUCUA